GGUAGACUGGAUCGGGACGCGUUCUGUUAGGUAGACUGGAUCGGGCCGCGUUCUGUUAGGUAGACUGGAUCGGGCUGCGUUCUGUUAGGUAGACUGGAUCGGGACGCGUUCUGUUAGGUAGACUGGAUCGGGCCGCGUUCUGUUAGGUAGACUGGAUCGGGCCGCGUUCUGUUAGGUAGACUGGAUCGGGACGCGUUCUGUUGGGUAGACUGGAUCGGGACGCGUUCUGUUAGGUAGACUGGAUCGGGCCGCGUUCUGUUAGGUAGACUGGAUCGGGCCGCGUUCUGUUAGGUAGACUGGAUCGGGCCGCGUUCUGUUAGGUAGACUGGAUCGGGACGCGUUCUGUUAGGUAGACUGGAUCGGGACGCGUUCUGUUAGGUAGACUGGAUCGGGACGCGUUCUGUUAGGUAGACUGGAUCGGGACGCGUUCUGUUAGGUAGACUGGAUCGGGACGCGUUCUGUUAGGUAGACUGGAUCGGGCCGCGUUCUGUUAGGUAGACUGGAUCGGGCCGCGUUCUGUUGUCCUCCUUUCCUGACCUGCUUUCACCCAACACAUCCCUCUAUGGCUGAUUACUGAAACUAACGGUUUGUAAUCAUUAAUUCAAUACCAGAUGUUGAAUAAUCCAUGAGUAGAUACGCUAAACUUCCAAUUUCCUGCCACUGAACAGCUUGUCAUAGAUGACUUAGACUGAGGUAGCCGACUCUGGUGCUAUAAAUACCCAGUUUGGGUUCCCUGGGUGGUGUUCGGCAUCAAACGGUAGAAAACUGAUUGAAAUGGGGAGAGACGACUAGAACUUGGCUCCAAUAAGACACAUUCAUUUUCUGUAUCAAAAUGUUUUGCGACGGUGUGCCCUAAUAAAUAUGACCCUAAUGAUUUGGUCCCUGGUCUUGAUGCACGUUGCCUCUGGCCCUGUCUGUUGAUUGGACCAUUAUAAUUUUUUUAUUUAUUUAUUUUUAUUUCACCUUUAUUUAACCAGGUAGGCUAGUUGAGAACAAGUUCUCAUUUGCAACUGCGGGCCAAGAUAAAGCAUAGCAGUGUGAACAGACAACACAGAGUUACACAUGGAGUAAACAAUUAACUAGUCAAUAACACAGUAGAAAAAAAUGGGCAAUCUAUAUACAAUGUGUGCAAAAGGCAUGAGGAGGUAGGCGAAU